CGGGAUGUAGCGCAGCCCGGUAGCGCGCCACGUUCGGGACGUGGAGGCCGUCGGUUCGAAUCCGGUCAUCCCGA
rnacentral:tRNA from 1 species